rnacentral:rRNA from 1 species
UACGUAGGCGGAAGAUUAAGUCAGUGGUGAAAUCCUGCAGCUUAACUGUAGAACUGUCAUUGAUACUGGUUUUCUUGAAUUUAGUUGAGGUAGGCGGAAUGUGUAAUGUAGCGGUGAAAUGCUUAGAUAUUACACAGAACACCGAUUGCGAAGGCAGCUUACUAAACUAUGAUUGACGCUGAGGUACGAAAGCGUGGGGAGCGAACAGGAUUAGAUACCCUGUUAGUCC